rnacentral:rRNA from 1 species
UACCCUCGGGUGGGGAAUAACUAGUCGAAAGAUUAGCUAAUACCGCAUAAUGCAGCGGCUCGACAUCGAGACAGUUGUUAAAGCAGAAAUGCGCCUGAGGAGGAGCCUGCGUCUGAUUAGCUAGUUGGUGAGGUAAUGGCUCACCAAGGCUGCGAUCAGUAGCUGGUCUGAGAGGACGGCCAGCCACAAUGGCACUGAAACACGGGCCAU